CAUGCACCAGUGGGGUCCCUCAGCCUGAACUGCGCCCUCUCACAAUCCGGGACCCCUCAAGUGAUGUCAGAGAGCUGGUUUCAGCCCGAUCCUGCAGGCCAGGCUGAGGGACCCCACUGGUGCACA
rnacentral:pre_miRNA from 1 species